UGGGGAAUAUUGCACAAUGGGCGCAAGCCUGAUGCAGCCAUGCCGCGUGUGUGAAGAAGGCCUUCGGGUUGUAAAGCACUUUCAGCGGGGAGGAAGGCGGUGAGGUUAAUAACCUCAUCGAUUGACGUUACCCGCAGAAGAAGCACCGGCUAACUCCGUGCCAGCAGCCGCGGUAAUACGGAGGGUGCAAGCGUUAAUCGGAAUUACUGGGCGUAUAGCGCACGCAGGCGGUCUGUCAAGUCGGAUGUGAAAUCCCCGGGCUCAACCUGGGAACUGCAUUCGAAACUGGCAGGCUAGAGUCUUGUAGAGGGGGGUAGAAUUCCAGGUGUAGCGGUGAAAUGCGUAGAGAUCUGGAGGAAUACCGGUGGCGAAGGCGGCCCCCUGGACGAAGACUGACACUCAGGUGCGAAAGCGUGGGGAGCAAACAGG
rnacentral:rRNA from 1 species